UACGAAGGGGGCUAGCGUUGCUCGGAAUCACUGGGCGUAAAGGGCGCGUAGGCGGCCAUUCAAGUCGGAGGUGAAAGCCCAGGGCUCAACCCUGGAAUUGCCUUCGAUACUGUUUGGCUAGAGACCGGAAGAGGUAAGUGGAACUGCGAGUGUAGAGGUGAAAUUCGUAGAUAUUCGCAAGAACACCAGUGGCGAAGGCGGCUUACUGGUCCGGUUCUGACGCUGAGACGCGAAAGCGUGGGGAGCAAACAGG
rnacentral:rRNA from 1 species